GUCAAUCUACCCUUGGGAUGGGGAUAACCCCGGGAAACUGGGGAUAAUACCCAAUAGGUGGGGAUUCUGGAAGUGUCCCUCACUGAAAUGCUCUGGCGCCUAAGGACGAGGCUGCGGCCGAUUAGGUGUUUGGUGAGAUAAAGGCUCACCAAGCCGAAAAUGGGUACGGGCCCUGAAAGGGGAAGCCCGGAAAUGGGAACUGAAACAAGGCCCCAGGCCCUACGGGGCGCACCAGGGGCAAAAUUUCUGCAUGGCGUGCAAGCGCGACGAAUUGACUCCCAGGGCCAAUGGUCUACCAACCGUCGGUUUUUCUGGAAGGUAAAAAGUUUCAGGUAAUAAGGGCCGGGUAAAACUGGGGCCAGCCGCCGCGGUAACACCACCGGCCCGAGUGGUAACCGAUUUUAUUGGGCCUAAAGCGUCCGUACCCGGAUUGCCAAGUCCCUUGUGAAAUCGGGCGGUUUAACCGCUCGGCUUGCAAGGAAAACUGUCAGUCUUGGGACCGGGAAGCGCCUAGGGUACUCCAGGGGUAGCGGUGAAAUGCUAUAAUCCCUGGGGGACCGCCAGUGGCGAAAGCGCUCGGCGAUGCCGGAUCCGACGGUGAGGGACGAAAGCCAGGGGAGCAAACCGGAUUAGAUACCCGGGUAGUCCUGGCCGCAAAGGAUGUGAGCUAGGUGCUUGGCGUUCCUCGAGAACGUCAGGUGCCGAAGGGAAGCCGUUAAGCUCACCGCCUGGAAGUACGGUCGCAGACUGAAACUUAAAGAAAUUGCGGGGG
rnacentral:rRNA from 1 species